GGAUGGCUAAUCUUAAAACUGUUCCUCACUAUUACAUUGUUUAUGAAAUAAAAAAAAAAUUAUAUGCCACAAAAUCUACCAUGCAUCAACCAAUAGAUCAUUCAGAAGGGUUUUCCUAGAUUUGAAAUUUAGGUAUUAGUUACUCAUGUACAUUUUUUAUAUGUACAUAAUGAAGUGAAAUUGAAGAUAGCGGGGACUUGCAAUUUCAUGAUGCUUCAAGCCCU
rnacentral:lncRNA from 1 species